rnacentral:lncRNA from 1 species
AUAUCAGGAUUGUUUAUGAUGACCACAAAUGGUGGAAACAACCCAAAUAUCCAUUAACAACCAGGUGCCAGUUAGAGUGAGAAAAGUGUAUCCCUGAGUAGCGACAAAAGGGAUGGGACUUUGAUGCACACUACCCACCAUAUGGAUACUGCUUGAAUGCUAUGCAGAAAUGCCAGUGAUAAAAGACCACAGAUUAGGAUUCCAUUUAUACAAACCAUGUAGGACAGGACAAGAGAAAUAGAAAGUAGAUUAAAUAGCUCCCUAGAAGUAGGGCUGGGGUAGGUGGGGUGAGGGUACAAGGGCUUCUUUUUGAGAUAAUGACAAUGCUCUAUAACUGGUUACAUCUAGAUUGAUGGUGGAUGUCCAGCUGUGAACAUACAAACUGGAGACCAUCACACUAAUCAUUUAAGACAGAUGACAAGGCCAGAAGACUAAAUAGCAACUCGACUGAGGAGGAACUGCAGGAACCCUGCUUCAUUUUAUUAAUCAUACUUGGAUCUAACAGCUCAGAGAAAGAACGCUUUCAAAAUCGGAGGUAUUUAAAAUGUCAAGACUGUGCAUUCAGCAAUCUGCCUUUGUGACUCUUAAAGCACGAACACACAGAAGGGCAAGAGAAGGAGUGCUCUGGUGACACGUGCUCCCUCAGGGUCACGAGGUGGGGGGCUAAGUGGAGGGUAAGACAGAGCAUGAGCUGUGUGAUCUACAGCCCUGUAAAAUGCAAAAUUAAAAGAAAUACAACUAAGUAAAUUGCAUGUAA